CAACAACAGACUCGGUGAAAUUGUAAUUCCGGUGAAGAUGCCGGAUACCUGCGACAGGACGGAAAGACCCCAUGGAGCUUUACUGUAGCUUGACAUUGGGUCUUGGUACUACAUGUACAGGAUAGGUGGGAGGCUUUGAAACCAGGACGCCAGUUUUGGCGGAGCCAUCCUUGGGAUACCACCCUUGUAGUACUGGGACUCUAACCAUAGGCCAUGAAUCUGGUCUUGGGACACUGUCAGGUGGGCAGUUUGACUGGGGCGGU
rnacentral:rRNA from 1 species